CGUAGGUGGCAAGCGUUGUCCGGAUUUAUUGGGCGUAAAGGGAGCGCAGGUGGUGAUUUAAGUCUGAUGUGAAAGCCCACGGCUCAACCGUGGAAGGUCAUUGGAAACUGGAUCACUUGAGUGCAGAAGAGGAAAGCGGAAUUCCAUGUGUAGCGGUGAAAUGCGUAGAUAUGUGGAGGAACACCAGUGGCGAAAGCGGCUUUCUGGUCUGACACUGACACUGAGGCUCGAAAGCGUGGGAGCAAACAGGAUU
rnacentral:rRNA from 1 species